rnacentral:rRNA from 1 species
UACGGAGGGGGCUGGCGUUGUUCGGAAUUACUGGGCGUAAAGCGCGCGUAGGCGGACCUGCAAGUCGGGGGUGAAAGCCCGAGGCUCAACCUCGGAACUGCCUUCGAUACUGCGGGUCUCGAGUCCGGGAGAGGUGAGUGGAAUUCCUAGUGUAGAGGUGAAAUUCGUAGAUAUUAGGAAGAACACCAGUGGCGAAGGCGGCUCACUGGCCCGGUACUGACGCUGAGGCGCGAAAGCGUGGGGAGCAAACAGG